GGGCCCGCACAAGCGGUGGAGCAUGUGGUUUAAUUCGACGCAACGCGAAAAACCUUACCUGGGUUUGACAUGCCGAGUACCCGAUGGAAACAUUGGGGUGCCCCGUAAGGGGAACUUGGACACAGGUGCUGCAUGGCUGUCGUCAGCUCGUGCCGUGAGGUGUUGGGUUAAGUCCCGCAACGAGCGCAACCCUCACCCUUAGUUGCCAUCAUUAAGUUGGGCACCCUAAGGGAACUGCCGCAGUUAAUGCGGAGGAAGGUGGGGAUGACGUCAAGUCCUCAUGGCCCUUAUAUCCAGGGCUACACACGUGCUACAAUGGACGGUACAAAGGGUCGCGAACCUGUAAGGGGGAGCUAACCCCAGAAAACCGCUCUCAGUUCGGAUUGGAGUCUGCAACCCGACUCCAUGAAGUUGGAAUCGCUAGUAAUCGCGGAUCAGAACGCCGCGGUGAAUACGUUCCCGGGCCUU
rnacentral:rRNA from 1 species